GACGAACGCUGGCGGCGUGCCUAACACAUGCAAGUCGAGCGGAGAUGGGAUGAGAGCUUGCUCUUAUUUCAUCUUAGCGGCGGACGGGUGAGUAACACGUGGGCAACCUACCUUCUACUGGGGGAUAACACCGGGAAACCGGUGCUAAUACCGCAUAAUACUGCUGGGAGGCAUCUUUCGGCAGUCAAAGGAGGGAUCCGGUGGAAGAUGGGCCCGGCCCGAUUAGCUAGUUGGUGAGGUAACGGCUCACCAAGGCGACGAUCGGUAGCCGGACUGAGAGGUUGGCCGGCCACAUUGGGACUGAGACACGGCCCAGACUCCUACGGGAGGCAGCAGUGGGGAAUAUUGCGCAAUGGGGGGAACCCUGACGCAGCGACGCCGCGUGAAGGAAGAAAGGGCCUUGGGUCGUAAACGUUCUUUAAUCGGGACGAAGUAAGUGACGGUACCCGAUAAAAAAGACCACGGCUAACUACGUAGCCAGCAGCCGCGGUAAGGAGUAGUACA
rnacentral:rRNA from 1 species